rnacentral:rRNA from 1 species
UACGGAGGGUGCAAGCGUUAUCCGGAUUCACUGGGUUUAAAGGGUGCGUAGGUGGGUAGGUAAGUCAGUGGUGAAAUCUUCGAGCUUAACUCGGAAACUGCCAUUGAUACUAUUUAUCUUGAAUACUCUGGAGGUAAGCGGAAUAUGUCAUGUAGCGGUGAAAUGCUUAGAUAUGACAUAGAACACCAAUUGCGAAGGCAGCUUACUACAUAGUUAUUGACACUGAGGCACGAAAGCGUGGGGGAUCAAACAG